GAUGAAGAACGUAGCGAAAUGCGAUAAGUAGUGUGAAUUGCAGAAUUCAGUGAAUCAUCGAAUCUUUGAACGCACAUUGCGCCCCAUGGUAUUCCGUGGGGCAUGCCUGUUCGAGCGUCAUUUACCCCCUCAAGCUCCGCUUGGUGUUGGGCGUCUGUCCCGCUUCGCGCGCGGACUCGCCCCAAAGGUAUUGGCAGCGGUCGUGCCAGCUUCUCGCGCAGCACAUUGCGCUUCUCGAGGCACCGGUGGGCCCGCGUCCAUCAAGCUCACCCCCCCAGUUUGACCUCGGAUCAGGUAGGGAUACCCGCUGAACUUAAGCAUACAAUAAGCGGAGGA
rnacentral:misc_RNA from 1 species